AAGAAACCGGUUUGUUUUUCCAUGUGUCACUGCGCUCGCGUUUGAGAUCCUUGUCGGUUCUGCCGCCCUCGGCAAGUCGUUGCUCUUCACGGCUGGCAGUGGUAUAUUCACCGCAGCUUCCAGAUGCGUGUUUCAGGGUGCGGGACCCGCUGUCUCUGGAGUGCGCCUCAGGGGCGGCUGUCGAACUGGUCUUUGUGGGAUCUUUUUCAGCUGACGCAGGCAAUUCCACGUAGUGACGAGAAACGUCCUGAGUGCUCCAAAGGGGAGUCUUGCGGUCACAGAACGUCCUAUUUUUAACGCUUCUUUCUCGGGGCCAAGAUGCGCUGCCUCUUUUCAGGAGAGAGCGAACACGAUCGAGUUGCGGCAAACACCAGGCUGGCAAUGUGCGUGCUGCUACUGUGAGUGGAGACUCUGGCUCUCGCGGUUGAACAAAGCCAAUCGACUCUGCCAUAGCGCGCGGUUUACGUACACUGCCUUUGGCGUUCUCACGAGCGGUUUCCGCCGCUGCCUGAAAGAACGACUGGGGUGACCCCAGUGGGUUAGAAGACGGAAAGUGGGCCAUGGACACGGAUGCAUCUUUUUAGUGAACUCAAGGAAGAAAAAGCAAUUGAUAACUGGGUCUUUUGAACAGGCUGAUGUCUGCCGUUUACGGGAAGCGCUGCGGGUUUCGUGACGGGGAACAUGCUCUCAUGAACAGAAUUAAAGGCCUUGUGAAUCUGCCCGAGCACAUGUGGAAG
rnacentral:lncRNA from 1 species